AGCUUGAAAGCUGGAGCUCUUGCAUAAAAGGCUGUUAUUUGGCAUGAGCGCUUCUACUGGCACAGUGCUCUUCCUUGAUAGAAAAAGAAACCAGAUUGUGACUUCAUUAAUUAAUCCCUUCCAUAUGAAAGCUCUUUUCCCAGAGAACCAGACUGAGUCCACGAAAUUUAUGGCUCUCAAAAGUUUUUGCAGCUGAUAACUGCCAAGAUAGAGUAGAACGCAGCGGGUGGAAGAGUAGUGCCAUUAGUUUUUGCACCAUCCAGCUUUUUUUCCCAGUGAACCAUAUCUGGCAUGGAGAAGAGAAAAGAAGAAAGAUGCUCAAACAAGUAAGAUAGCACCAUUGAUAGAGUUUGGAGGAUAUCACACGACUGAAAUUGGUAGCUUCUUUGACAGCAAAAAUGGCAACCCUUCAAGUCACAAAGGGGUGACGCCUUGCAACAAGAAGGUGGCCACAAGAUUGCACUUAUUGUUCCUGGCAGGUUUGGCUCAGGCAUCUUCCUUUCGCAGUCCUUAAACCUUUCUUUAUCAAGCAGCAAGAGUAACACCAGCUUGCUCAACAGAGGGUUUGUGCACAUCAAGGCAGAGAAAAAUCCAUCUUCUAAGUCAAUCUCUAGCAUGUUCAGGCCACCUGCACUGAUGUCCAGUGCAUGGAAAAUAGUGGCUUUCAGUGGUUCUAAAUAGCAGCUGAUCAUGCAAGACAAAGCUCAACAGAUCUUGGGUGUGCUGAAACA